rnacentral:sRNA from 1 species
UGUUUCAUGAUGGUUUUUAAAAUUAAUAAAUGUAAGGCCCACUAACAGCCACAGAGUCUAAAAAUACUUACGAAAUCCACAAAGGAUUAACAGGCUGCUCUGAUGCUUUUGGUAGAGUGAGAGAGAAUUUGGUAAUCUGUUAGAGAUUAUAUUGCCGAGAAGCUACUAGGGAAGACUAUUUGUAAAAUAGUAAGGACUAUAUAUAUGUCUAAGCCCCUAUGGUAGACUUAAAAAAUACUAAUUUAAAUGAGUUUUAGGUUGGUUGAUUUGUUGGUUGGUUGGUUUUGAAGUAACCUGUUUUUCUUCCUGUCGUGUCUUUUUGCAGAAUCCAGACUCCAAAAUGAUGCAAAUCAACCUGACUGGAUUUUUGAAUGGAAAAAAUGCUCGAGAAUUUAUGGGAGAACUGUGGCCCCUGCUGCUAAGUGCACAAGAAAACAUCGCGGGAAUCCCUUCUGCUUUCCUAGAACUGAAGAAAGAAGAAAUAAAACAAAGACAGAUUGAACAAGAAAAACUGGCAUCUAUGAAAAAGCAAGAUGAAGACAAAGAUAAAAGAGAUAAGGAAGAAAAAGAAAGCAGCAGAGAAAAAAGGGAGCGGUCUCGUAGCCCAAGAAGAACCAAGAGCCGGAGUCCUUCCCCUGCUCCAGAAAAGAAGGAAAAAACUCCAGAGCUCCCAGAACCUUCAGUGAAAGUAAAAGAACCUUCAGUACAAGAGGCUACUUCUACUAGUGACAUUCUGAAAGUUCCCAAACCUGAACCUAUACCAGAGCCUAAAGAACCUUCUCCGGAAAAAAAUUCCAAAAAA